ensembl:lncRNA
UAGACCUAACUUUUAGUCCCUACUCUACCCCUGUUCCAGUUGGGAAGACCAGUCAGUUGCAGAAUCAGAAACAUCACCAUCUCUUCCAGGAUCUUCACCAACCCUACCUGGAGCUCCCUCCUGGCCUCCCUGACCAAAUGAUGCGGUUCUAAAUCGAAGUCAAACAGAGAACAUCCGGUUAGUGCAACCUAAAUCACAUCAAGCAUCCUAACUGGAGGAUAGACUGGUGAAGUCACACUCUGGAGGUGCGAAAAAGAAUUUCUAUUUACUUUCCAGUACCACUUUCAGGAACCAGUUUGUUAAAUCUUUGAAAGCUGCAUAUUAAGUAACCCCAGCACUUUAAGACAAUUUCCUGUGGUGUCUCUGUAAAGCUGCAAAUGCCAUGUCAGAAACAACAGGGAGCCCCAGACUGUGUGACGUGGAGUGAGAGGAGACAACAUCAAGUUCAAUUCAGAGCAAAUGUAACAAUUUAGAGGCAACU